rnacentral:lncRNA from 1 species
CCGCCCGCGCUCCCCUCUCCCAUUCAUCCUGCCGCCGUAUCGACCCGCGGCCGACCCCGCGCGGCCAGGCGCCCCCGCCCGCUGCCCUCUCCUUUCCCAGCCCGGCCUCCCCCGCGGGGGCUGUCACCGAGCGCCUGGCACGGCCGGGCCAUGCCCCGGGGAAGGAGGGACCAGGGCCGGGGGCGGGAGCCAGCCCUUGUGCUCGCAGCCCUGGGUUCGGAGCCCAGCUGCCCGGGAAGGUUUCCAGAUCUCCCUGAGCCUCAGUUUCCCCAUCUGUAAACUGGGUGGUGGUGGCUUCGUCCCCCGCUUUGAGAGGACAGCAGGAGAGGCGUCCUGAGAAUGCACAUUUGCGAGCGGGUGAAAAUUUCUGUGAAUGUUUAUAAGCACAUGGAACGGGCAUCUUUGUGGCUGCGGGAGUUGCACGGCUCUCCCGGGCAGUGUCCAUCACACUCAUGGCUUCCUAGACUUCCAUCUCCGGUCUAAUCACCUUCCGAACGCCAGAACCAUCACGUCUGCUGCCCUUGAACACCUCCCCUAGGUGUCCCUGUGGGCCACCCAGGUUCCCUCCACCCCAGUCUUCCCCACCUGCUUCUCCUUCAUGCUUCCCUCUCAGGGAGUUUGAGACCAGGCUGACCAACAUGGAGAAACCCCGACUCUACUAGAAAUACAAAAUCAGCUGGGUGUGGUGGCGCAUGCCUGUAAUCCCAGCUACUCGGGAGGCUGAGGCAGAAUUGCUUGAGCCUGGGAGGCGGAGGUUGCAGUGAGCCGAGAUUGCACCAUUGCACUCCAGCCUGGGCAACAAGAGCAAAACUCCGUCUCAAAAAAAAAAAAAAAAAAAAAGUAAAAGUAAAAGAAAGUCAAUCACCAAUAAUGCUGGAAUAUGUCAACUUUUCUCCCACCUCUUGCCACUGAUCCAGACCCCAUUCCCUCUGCCCGGGUGAUCCCUUAUAGCUACCCAGGGCUGCGGCUUUGCUCCAUUCAAGCCAUUUUCCACGCAGCAGCAGCCAGGGCCGUCUUUCCAGAGUGUAUUAGGUUGGUGCAAAAGUAACUGUGGUUUUUGCAAUUAAAAGUAAUUGUAGGCCAGGCACAGCGGCUCAUGCCUGUAAUCGCAGCACUUUGGGAGGCUAAGACAGUUGGAUCACUUGAGGUCAGGAGUUCGAGACCCACCUGGCCAACAUAGUGAAACCUGGUCUCCACUAAAAAUACAAAAAUUAGCUGGGCAUGGUGGCACACGCCUGUAAUCCCAGCUCCUGGGGGGGUGGGGGGGCAGGGCUGAGGCAGGAGAGUCGCUUGAACCCAGGAGACGACAGCUGCAGUGAGCUGAGAUCACGCCACUGCACUCCAGCCUAGGCGACAGAGUGACUCUGUCUCAAAAAAAAAAAAAAAAAAGGAAUUGCAAAAACCGCAAUUACUUAAUAGAUCUGACCAAGACUCUCCCCAGGUUCAAACCCCGGCUUCAAACCUUUUGCUCCUUAUAGUCUUUUUUUAAAACUCUUAUCUGUGGCUCAUUGUGUCUCAAGACAGCCAAGCAAACCGAACUGCUAGGAAUUUUCCCAAUGGAACAUUCUCUCUGCAAGUCCUUUGCUCUUGCGGUUGCUCCUCCAGGAGCUCCUGCCUCCCUCUUCUCUUCCCUUCCUUGAGGCUCAGCAUGGGAGAGGCCCUGCUGCAGGUGCCCUCUGACCUCUCAGGUAGGGGAGGGGGCCUCUGUCCUCUGCAAACCUGCGCUGAGUGCUCUGGAUGGUUCCGUCCCUUGGAUUGGGCCUCCCCAAGGGCAAGACCCUGCCUGGUUCACCCUGGCCGCUCAUGCAGAGGCCUGCCUAACAUAGCUGCUGAAUGAAUGAAUGAAUGAAUUGAAUUGAAUAAUGGACAAAGCCCAACAGGGAGGGUUAGCAUAAAGGGGAGACAGG